UACGAAGGGGGGCUAGCGUUGUUCGGAAUUACUGGGCGUAAAGCGUGCGCAGGCGGCUUCUCAAGUCAGGGGUGAAAGCCCAGAGCUCAACUCUGGAAUUGCCUUUGAGACUGAGUGGCUUGAGUACGAGAGAGGUGAGUGGAAUUCCCAGUGUAGAGGUGAAAUUCGUAGGAUAUUGGGAAGAACACCGGUGGCGAAGGCGGCUCACUGGCUCGUAACUGACGCUCAUGCACGACAGCGUGGGGAUCAAACAGG
rnacentral:rRNA from 1 species